rnacentral:rRNA from 1 species
UAAGGAAUAUUGGGCAAUGGACGCAAGUCUGACCCAGCCAUGCCGCGUGAAGGAUGAAGGCCCUCUGGGUUGUAAACUUCUUUUAUCUGGGGCGAAAGGCGGUUAUUCUUAGCCGUUUGACAGUACCAGAGGAAUAAGCACCGGCUAACUCCGUGCCAGCAGCCGCGGUAAUACGGAGGGUGCAAGCGUUAUCCGGAUUCACUGGGUUUAAAGGGUGCGUAGGUGGGUCUGUAAGUCAGAGGUGAAAUCCCCGAGCUUAACUUGGGAACUGCCUUUGAUACUAUAGGUCUUGAAUAUCGUGGAGGUAAGCGGAAUAUGUCAUGUAGCGGUGAAAUGCAUAGAGAUGACAUAGAACACCAAUUGCGAAGGCAGCUUGCUACACGAUGAUUGACACUGAGGC